AUGUCUAAACACAUGCAGCCUGCCAAACAAAGUCUCAUCUCAGCAUGUCUCAGCGUAUACAUCGCCGCCAAACAACAGCAACUGAAUGGACUCAACAUGUUUACACUCAGCAUGUAUGAGAGGAGAACAACUAGGCUAGGUCCAUACAUGCUACCAAACACACCCGUAAGUUUCGAGCGUAGCUCGCGUGCAUGCUCGCUGCCUCGCUCGUUCCCUUCUUUUUCUAUCUUCUAUCCAGCGCUGCCGCCUAGACCUAGCGCCGCCGCCGCCGUCGUUCGUCCUUCACCAAGUCCGUCGCCGUCCUCGUUCGUCCCCUCGUCCUCGACUAAGCUCCGCUGCCUCCAUCCUCGACCAAGCGUCGCCGCCGCCCUCGACAAGCCCCCGCAGGCCGGAUCCUGA
rnacentral:rRNA from 1 species